AUUGAACGCUAGCGGGAUGCCUUACACAUGCAAGUCGAACGGAGUGGCGAACGGGUGAGUAAUGUAUCGGAACGUGACCAGUAGCGGGGGAUAACUACGCGAAAGCGUAGCUAAUACCGCAUAAGAUUGGAGCGGCCGAUCUCGGAUGAGCUAGUUGGUGGGGUAACGGCUCACCAAGGCGACGAUCCGUUGAUGGUUUGAGGGGACGACCAGCCACACUGGGACUGGGCAACGGCCCAGACUCCUACGGGAGGCAGCAGUGGGGCAUUUUGGACAAUGGGGGAAACCCUGAUCCAGCCAUCCCUCGUGUGCGAUGAAGGCCUUCGGGUUGUAAAGCACUUUUGGCAGGAAAGCGGUACCUGCAGAAUAAGCACCGGCUAACUACGUGCCAGCAGCCGCGGUAAUUC
rnacentral:rRNA from 1 species